CUUUUCAUGCUCCUAUAGACAGGAUAUCGGUUGGCAGGAACAACCUCGUUGUUCGAUUUUUGAAAGGGUCUAGGAGGGUUCAACCAGAUC